rnacentral:rRNA from 1 species
AACCGGGGGAACUGAAACAUCUAAGUACCCCGAGGAAAAGAAAUCAACCGAGAUUCCCCCAGUAGCGGCGAGCGAACGGGGAGCAGCCCAGAGCCUGAAUCAGUGUGUGUGUUAGUGGAAGCGUCUGGAAAGGCGCGCGAUACAGGGUGACAGCCCCGUACACAAAAAUGCACAUGCUGUGAGCUCGAUGAGUAGGGCGGGACACGUGGUAUCCUGUCUGAAUAUGGGGGGACCAUCCUCCAAGGCUAAAUACUCCUGACUGACCGAUAGUGAACCAGUACCGUGAGGGAAAGGCGAAAAGAACCCCGGCGAGGGGAGUGAAAAAGAACCUGAAACCGUGUACGUACAAGCAGUGGGAGCACGCUUAGGCGUGUGACUGCGUACCUUUUGUAUAAUGGGUCAGCGACUUAUAUUCUGUAGCAAGGUUAACCGAAUAGGGGAGCCGAAGGGAAACCGAGUCUUAACUGGGCGUUAAGUUGCAGGGUAUAGACCCGAAACCCGGUGAUCUAGCCAUGGGCAGGUUGAAGGUUGGGUAACACUAACUGGAGGACCGAACCGACUAAUGUUGAAAAAUUAGCGGAUGACUUGUGGCUGGGGGUGAAAGGCCAAUCAAACCGGGAGAUAGCUGGUUCUCCCCGAAAGCUAUUUAGGUAGCGCCUCGUGAAUUCAUCUCCGGGGGUAGAGCACUGUUUCGGCAAGGGGGUCAUCCCGACUUACCAACCCGAUGCAAACUGCGAAUACCGGAGAAUGUUAUCACGGGAGACACACGGCGGGUGCUAACGUCCGUCGUGAAGAGGGAAACAACCCAGACCGCCAGCUAAGGUCCCAAAGUCAUGGUUAAGUGGGAAACGAUGUGGGAAGGCCCAGACAGCCAGGAUGUUGGCUUAGAAGCAGCCAUCAUUUAAAGAAAGCGUAAUAGCUCACUGGUCGAGUCGGCCUGCGCGGAAGAUGUAACGGGGCUAAACCAUGCACCGAAGCUGCGGCAGCGACACUAUGUGUUGUUGGGUAGGGGAGCGUUCUGUAAGCCUGUGAAGGUGUGCUGUGAGGCAUGCUGGAGGUAUCAGAAGUGCGAAUGCUGACAUAAGUAACGAUAAAGCGGGUGAAAAGCCCGCUCGCCGGAAGACCAAGGGUUCCUGUCCAACGUUAAUCGGGGCAGGGUGAGUCGACCCCUAAGGCGAGGCCGAAAGGCGUAGUCGAUGGGAAACAGGUUAAUAUUCCUGUACUUGGUGUUACUGCGAAGGGGGGACGGAGAAGGCUAUGUUGGCCGGGCGACGGUUGUCCCGGUUUAAGCGUGUAGGCUGGUUUUCCAGGCAAAUCCGGAAAAUCAAGGCUGAGGCGUGAUGACGAGGCACUACGGUGCUGAAGCAACAAAUGCCCUGCUUCCAGGAAAAGCCUCUAAGCAUCAGGUAACAUCAAAUCGUACCCCAAACCGACACAGGUGGUCAGGUAGAGAAUACCAAGGCGCUUGAGAGAACUCGGGUGAAGGAACUAGGCAAAAUGGUGCCGUAACUUCGGGAGAAGGCACGCUGAUAUGUAGGUGAAGUCCCUCGCGGAUGGAGCUGAAAUCAGUCGAAGAUACCAGCUGGCUGCAACUGUUUAUUAAAAACACAGCACUGUGCAAACACGAAAGUGGACGUAUACGGUGUGACGCCUGCCCGGUGCCGGAAGGUUAAUUGAUGGGGUUAGCCGCAAGGCGAAGCUCUUGAUCGAAGCCCCGGUAAACGGCGGCCGUAACUAUAACGGUCCUAAGGUAGCGAAAUUCCUUGUCGGGUAAGUUCCGACCUGCACGAAUGGCGUAAUGAUGGCCAGGCUGUCUCCACCCGAGACUCAGUGAAAUUGAACUCGCUGUGAAGAUGCAGUGUACCCGCGGCAAGACGGAAAGACCCCGUGAACCUUUACUAUAGCUUGACACUGAACAUUGAGCCUUGAUGUGUAGGAUAGGUGGGAGGCUUAGAAGUGUGGACGCCAGUCUGCAUGGAGCCGACCUUGAAAUACCACCCUUUAAUGUUUGAUGUUCUAACGUUGACCCGUAAUCCGGGUUGCGGACAGUGUCUGGUGGGUAGUUUGACUGGGGCGGUCUCCUCCUAAAGAGUAACGGAGGAGCACGAAGGUUGGCUAAUCCUGGUCGGACAUCAGGAGGUUAGUGCAAUGGCAUAAGCCAGCUUGACUGCGAGCGUGACGGCGCGAGCAGGUGCGAAAGCAGGUCAUAGUGAUCCGGUGGUUCUGAAUGGAAGGGCCAUCGCUCAACGGAUAAAAGGUACUCCGGGGAUAACAGGCUGAUACCGCCCAAGAGUUCAUAUCGACGGCGGUGUUUGGCACCUCGAUGUCGGCUCAUC